rnacentral:rRNA from 1 species
GACGGCGGUUCCAAGCGUUGUUCGGAGUGACUGGGCGUAAAGGGAGCGCAGGCGGUUGAGUAAGUCUAAAGUGGAAGCCUGGAGCUUAACUCCAGAAGUGCUUUAGAUACUGCUCUGCUUGAGUAUGCCAGAGGUAAGCGGAAUUCAGGGUGUAGCGGUGAAAUGCUUAGCUAUCCUGGGGAACACCGGUGGCGAAAGCGGCUUUCUGGGGCAUUACUGACGCUCAGGCUCGAAAGCGUGGGGAGCAAACAGG